rnacentral:rRNA from 1 species
UACGGAGGAUGCGAGCGUUAUCCGGAUUUAUUGGGUUUAAAGGGUGCGUAGGCGGAUUUUUAAGUCAGCGGUAAAAUGUCCGGGCUCAACCCGGGCCGGCCGUUGAAACUGGGGAUCUUGAGUGGGCGAGAAGUAUGCGGAAUGCGUGGUGUAGCGGUGAAAUGCAUAGAUAUCACGCAGAACUCCGACUGCGAAGGCAGCAUACCGGCGCCCGACUGACGCUGAGGCACGAAAGCGUGGGGAUCGAACAGG